AGAGAAAGAAUAGAGGCCUGAAAAACAGCAGGAAACAAAAACAACCUAAGGGAGAUGCUGGGCUCCAGGAAACUGCAAGCGAAAAGCGGGCAGGCUCCGUGUCUGCCACCGGGGGACAGGGGCAGUGGUACUCACCAAGUAGAAAUCAAACGGGAUGUGGGGCACAAAGGGCCUGAACCUGAAGCAAGAGAAACAGUCCAAAUUACUAACUACCGAAGAUGAAGCCGCUUGGCAGGAGAGCUUGUGGCCUCUGAACCACAGCUGCAUCUCACAAAAGCGGGUGCCAGGAGUCCGCCCCAGGCUCUUACUGGGGUGAGAGAUGCCGGACACUCACCCUCCUCCCGGGCCUCCUCGGGAACCAAAGCGCCCGCCACGACCUCGGCCUCUGUCGCCCCUGGAAACGCAUAAAACAAAGAGACUUCAACUCGUUUCCCCACCAGCUGGCCUAUCAUGUCAAGCUUGCCGGCCUCCAUCUCCGAACUUUCCUGUGGAAACUAAGCAUCCCCGUUCCCACUGGGAUUCCUCCCCAUUUCAAAAGCCCAACCUCACCCCUGACCUCCUCGAUCUGGAGACGUUCAUCACAGCCCACACCAGAGAACGACGGGGCCCCACUGCUGAGCGCCUCCAGGGAACACCCCAUCAUCCCGGGACACGCCAGCGCGGCCCCUGCAGAGACUAAAGGCUCUUCUUUCGUCAUCGAGAGAGUGGACCAUCUCCCGGGCACAUCUGGUCAAGCACUUGGAGGAUGAAUGAGGCCGCGUUCAAGCCUCCUCAGGCCACACGGGGAGACGAGAGGGGUGCUCCUCCGGGGACCCGAGGACCCCCCUCACCUGAACCCCCAGAAACCGGGCUGUGGAACCCUCCACCCCAGGCCCGGGUUUCCCCGCCUCCACGGCCUCCGAUCGCCCCCACUCGCCCAGACCCGGAGUUCUCAGGGCAGCCCCUCGGCACGUGGUCCUUCCCGGCCCCCCGACUCCUCCGGGCCCACCUCCCCAGCGAUUUUGGCCACAUACCCCCACCUUUCCAGACCCCCUCCGUGUCCUCACCUCAUGGCGCCCCAGACCCUGAACAAUGGAAGCCACACCAACCGCCCCUCUCCUCCGAGCUGCCGCCAGGCGCAGAGGCGGCGUGCCGGUAUGCCAACAAGCCACGGCGCGAUUGGCUCCCGCCUCGCUCCUCCGCUUAUGCCUAUUGGUUUACCGUAGAAAACGGGCUUGUAAACCAAUUAAAAAUCCCUGCUGCGCCAGGAACUAGCCAAUCAGAUUAGACUACACAGUAAUGACGAUUUUUUUUUUUUUUUUCACCAGACGUUCGACGGCGCUGCGUAGAGAGAGGACAGAGAUUACGUAGGAAACUUUCUAUAGGAAUCAGGAGGCGCUCUCACCCGCAGAAGCAGAGUGGCGCAGCGGAAGCGUGCUGGGCCCAUAACCCAGAGGUCGAUGGAUCGAAACCAUCCUCUGCUAGCAAGACUUUUUCUUUUUCCCUUCACUAGAAUAAAGAGAAUUUUAA